rnacentral:rRNA from 1 species
GACAGCAAUAUGAAGGUCAGGCUGAAGACCUUACCCGAUUAGCUGAGAGGUGGUGCAUGGCCGUCGUCAGUUCGUACUGUGAAGCAUCCUGUUAAGUCAGGCAACGAGCGAGACCCACGUCCACAGUUGCCAGCAUACCCUCCGGGGUGAUGGGUACACUGUGGAGACCGCCGCUGCUAAAGCGGAGGAAGGAGUGGGCAACGGUAGGUCAGUAUGCCCCGAAUCUCCCGGGCUACACGCGGGCUACAAUGGUUGGUACAAUGGGCAUCUACCCCGAAAGGGGAAGGAAAUCUCUUAAAGCCAAUCGUAGUUCGGAUUGAGGGCUGCAACUCGCCCUCAUGAAGCUGGAAUCCGUAGUAAUCGCGUUUCAACAGAACGCGGUGAAUACGUCCCUGCUCCUU